GACGAACGCUGGCGGCGUGCUUAACACAUGCAAGUCGAACGGAAAGGCCCUGCUUUUGUGGGGUGCUCGAGUGGCGAACGGGUGAGUAACACGUGAGUAACCUGCCCUUGACUUUGGGAUAACUUCAGGAAACUGGGGCUAAUACCGGAUAGGAGCUCCUGCUGCAUGGUGGGGGUUGGAAAGUUUCGGCGGUUGGGGAUGGACUCGCGGCUUAUCAGCUUGUUGGUGGGGUAGUGGCUUACCAAGGCUUUGGCGGGUAGCCGGCCUGAGAGGGUGACCGGCCACAUUGGGACUGAGAUACGGCCCAGACUGCUACGGGAGGCAGCAGUGGGGAAUAUUGCACAAUGGGCGGAAGCCUGAUGCAGCAACGCCGCGUGCGGGAUGACGGCCUUCGGGUUGUAAACCGCUUUCGCCUGUGACGAAGCGUGAGUGACGGUAAUGGGUAAAGAAGCACCGGCUAACUACGUG
rnacentral:rRNA from 1 species